rnacentral:lncRNA from 1 species
UUAAUAAUUCAUGACCAGUUUCAGUAAGUUUUCUACUAUAAUAAUGUUUAAGUAUAAGCUACCUUUAAGGUAAUAAAGGUAAUAUUGGAAGAGAUACAAAAGAACAUUCAGAAAUAGGAUAACUUUCCGAUCUAAGGUUUAAUAAAGUUGAGGUCUAUAUAUGUACACAAUCGCCAUCAAAUCCACCCUCAGCGUGUACCACAUCCC